GCACCUUCGGGUGAGCGGCGGACGGGUGAGUAACGCGUGGGAACGUACCCUUCUCUGCGGAAUAGCCACUGGAAACGGUGAGUAAUACCGCAUACGCCCUUCGGGGGAAAGAUUUAUCGGAGAAGGAUCGGCCCGCGUUGGAUUAGGUAGUUGGUGGGGUAAUGGCCUACCAAGCCUACGAUCCAUAGCUGGUUUGAGAGGAUGAUCAGCCACACUGGGACUGAGACACGGCCCAGACUCCUACGGGAGGCAGCAGUGGGGAAUCUUAGACAAUGGGCGCAAGCCUGAUCUAGCCAUGCCGCGUGAGUGAAGAAGGCCUUAGGGUCGUAAAGCUCUUUCGCUGGGGAAGAUAAUGACUGUACCCAGUAAAGAAACCCCGGCUAACUCCGUGCCAGCAGCCGCGGUAAUACGGAGGGGGUUAGCGUUGUUCGGAAUUACUGGGCGUAAAGCGCGCGUAGGCGGAUCAGAAAGUUGGGGGUGAAAUCCCGGGGCUCAACCUCGGAACUGCCUCCAAAACUCCUGGUCUUGAGUUCGAGAGAGGUGAGUGGAAUUCCGAGUGUAGAGGUGAAAUUCGUAGAUAUUCGGAGGAACACCAGUGGCGAAGGCGGCUCACUGGCUCGAUACUGACGCUGAGGUGCGAAAGUGUGGGGAGCAAACAGGAUUAGAUACCCUGGUAGUCCACACCGUAAACGAUGAAUGCCAGUCGUCGGCAAGCAUGCUUGUCGGUGACACACCUAACGGAUUAAGCAUUCCGCCUGGGGAGUACGGUCGCAAGAUUAAAACUCAAAGGAAUUGACGGG
rnacentral:rRNA from 1 species